rnacentral:piRNA from 2 species
CUCAGUUGGUAGAGCGGAGGACUGUAG